rnacentral:snoRNA from 1 species
AAGACUAUUCUUUCAGGGAUCAUUAUGAGAGAAGUUUCUCUGAAUGCCUAAAAACUGGAAAACCAUGAGGAGGCACAACAGUGUUCUCUCCUGAGCAUGAAGCUGGCUCUUGGCAUUGCUUUGCUGCAACUGAUAAUUUUUCUCUUCCUUUGGAAGAGUAAAAGGAAGAGAAUGCAAUCUGGGUGGU